rnacentral:rRNA from 1 species
GACGAGCUCCCCGAACGUUAUUCGGUAUUACUGGGCUUAAAGAGUUCGUAGGCGGCCUGACAGGUCAGGUGUGAAAUCCCUCGGCUCAACCGAGGAACUGCGCUUGAAACCGUCAGGCUUGAGGGAGAUAGAGGUGAGCGGAACAGAUGGUGGAGCGGUGAAAUGCGUUGAUAUCAUCUGGAACACCGGUGGCGAAAGCGGCUCACUGGAUCUUUUCUGACGCUGAGGAACGAAAGCGUGGGGAGCAAACGGG